rnacentral:rRNA from 1 species
UACGUAGGUGGCGAGCGUUGUCCGGAAUUAUUGGGCGUAAAGGGAGCGCAGGUGGGAAGAUGAGUCAGUCUUAAAAGUUCGGGGCUCAACCCCGUGAUGGGAUUGAAACUAUUUUUCUUGAGUGCAGGAGAGGAAAGCGGAAUUCCCAGUGUAGCGGUGAAAUGCGUAGAUAUUAGGAGGAACACCAGUGGCGAAGGCGGCUUUCUGGACUGUAACUGACACUGAGGCUCGAAAGCGUGGGGAGCGAACA